rnacentral:rRNA from 1 species
CCUACGGGUGGCAGCAGUGGGGAAUAUUGCGCAAUGGGCGAAAGCCUGACGCAGCGACGCCGCGUGAGGGAUGAAGGUCUUCGGAUCGUAAACCUCUGUCAGCAGGGAAGAACGGUCACUGUGCUAAUCAGCAGUGAAUUGACGGUACCUGCAAAGGAAGCACCGGCUAACUCCGUGCCAGCAGCCGCGGUAAUACGGAGGGUGCGAGCGUUAAUCGGAAUUACUGGGCGUAAGGCGCUCGUAGGCGGUAUGUCAAGUCACGGGUGAAAUCCCCGGGCUCACCGUGGGAACUGCCUUUGAAACUGGCAAACUGGAGUGUGUGAGAGGAUAGUGGAAUGCCAGGUGUAGGAGUGAAAUGCGUAGAUAUCUGGAGGAACAUCAGUGGCGAAGGCGACUAUCUGGCACAUAACUGACGCUGAGGAGCGAAAGCGUGGGUAGCAAACAGGAUUAGAUACCCCGGUAGUC